UGAGGAAUCUUGCGCAAUGGGGGAAACCCUGACGCAGCAACGCCGCGUGAGUGAGGAAGGUCUUCGGGUCGUAAAGCUCUGUCAGGCGGGAAGAAAUGGAUGGAGGUGAACAGCCGCCAUGCUUGACGGUACCGCCAGAGGAAGCACCGGCUAACUCCGUGCCAGCAGCCGCGGUAAUACGGGGGGUGCAGGCGUUGUUCGGAAUCAUUGGGCGUAAAGAGCGUGUAGGCGGCUUGGUAAGUCAGAUGUGAAAGCCCUGGGCUCAAACCGGGAAGUGCAUUUGAAACUGCCAGGCUCGAGUAGGGGAGAGGGAAGUGGAAUUCCUGGUGUAGAGGUGAAAUUCGUAGAUAUCAGGAGGAACACCGGUGGCGAAGGCGACUUCCUGGCCCUAUACUGACGCUGAGACGCGAGAGCGUGGGUAGCAAACAG
rnacentral:rRNA from 1 species